CCCGCUCGCCUGCCUCCUUCCUGUCCUCUCCCCUGCCUGCCUCCUCCAGCCGGGAGCACGUGCAGCAGCUCGCCCCGUUCUCUUGGCUGGAGGAGACAGGCAGGCAGGGGAGAGGACGGGAAGGAGGCAGGUGAGUGGG